rnacentral:misc_RNA from 1 species
UCCGGCUUCCCGCCGGCAGUCUCCCGAGAGUCCCCGCCUUUACGCGCUGGCAACACGGGACAAGGGUUGCGCUCGUUGCGGGACUUAACCCAACAUCUCACGACACGAGCUGACGACAGCCAUGCAGCACCUGUCCUGGUGCCCCGAAGGGGGGCCCUGCUUUCACAGGGCUUUCACCAGGAUGUCAAGCCCAGGUAAGGUGGGGAUGACGUAGGAGGAAUUCCA